CCCUAGCCCCGAUAGGAACGGUUACCCCGCAACAUGCUAUGCUUUUUAGGGAAGGCGUGAGGAGUAUGAGUGGAUAGCGGGAUAAAGC
rnacentral:misc_RNA from 1 species